CAAAAAGGGGCCCUUUGAACUGAAAAGGAUGCUGACCCCUGACCUAAGCCACGAGGUCAACACAAAACAAAUACAGAACAAUUAUUGACAGAAAAAUGGAACGGUUACUUUCAAGGCUACAGGUGAAGAUGCUCCUGUCACUCCAUUUCCCAGGUCAUCACAGAACUCCCACACAUGGAGCUCUCCUGCAGUAUGCAGUGUAAUGGCCCAAACCAUCACUGGUCAUCUUUCCAUGGAGAGCAAUUAAUGCCCUCAAAGUGAACGACUUUCCUUGGAGAACCAGGUUGGAGGGAAAUUCAUUCAGUGGAAAUUCUGUUUGGUUUGCAAGAGAUGGAUUGGAGAGUGGCCUGAGGCAGGUAGACUCAGGUAGGCCAAGUCCUGCUUCCACAGCAGUGCCAGGAUGAGCCAUACCAGACUCUCUGAGGACAGAGAUGGCAGGAGAAACAAAUGGCACUUCCCUUGUCAUCCCUUUGCUGAGGUUUGUUGGGUCACACCAUCUGUGGCAAUGGCUUUCACCAGCUGCAGGACUGGGUUUUCACUGUCCUUCAGAACAGCAAUUUGAAAUGUGGAGCUGUCACAGAAGGCACAACAUAAGCACUGAAAAAAUGCAUCACAUGCA